CUACCAUCUGCAAGAAAAAGUGGCCUGCAUUUUAUUUCAGUCCAAGACUUACUAGAAAAAUCCCUCCCUUAUUUUUUGUUUCCCUCCCAUGUGAGGGUCACACCACGUUACUUUGUAUGUAGCCACCUGGUAAAGGACAAACUCUUCCCUCUUGCCAAAAUUAUCUACAGCUGAGCCUGGGUUGCUUUGCUGCAACUUUUUGCUCUUGCCUCUUUGAAAUAGGAGCCUUUUUGAGUGAGUUGUUUUUUUUUCAGGAGGACUUUUUAUAUUCUCAAGAAGCCUGGAUAAAGCUCUUUUGGAAGGUACAGGCUGGUGCUGUUUCUUUUGCAUCUAAUGCUGUCUUUGGUCAAAAAGACUGAAGAGGUUACUUUUCUGCUCCAAGUUUCCCCUGUGAACAUUUAACCAAGCAACAGUUUCAGGCGGCUGCCCAACACUUGUACUCUUAAAAAGGGAAAACAAUGCAGAAAGAGGAUGUCCCCAGAGGGAGAUCAUGCCCUGCCCCAGCUGCUCACACAUGCAAGACAGAUUUUCUCAAGCACAACAACCAGUUGGGAACAUGGCUGCUGUUCAUGCCCUUGGAAACACCCCUCUUUGCCUUUGGGUGAUUAGAAUCAUCAAACUAUAGGAAAACACAGAUUGGAAAGGAUGUUUGGAAGUAGUCUGAUCCAACCCCACGCUGAAAGCAGAGCUGCCUUCACAAUCAGGUGAGGUUGCCCGAAGCCUUGUUUGGUG